rnacentral:tRNA from 1 species
GGGAGUAGAUGGUGGCUGGUGUUGCCUCUGGUCUUCAAAACCAGUUUGAGACGUUAGUAGCGUCUUAGGUGAGUUCGAUUCUCACAUAUUCCCGCCA